GUGAAUUUUUUAAUUUCCCUCUUAACUUUUUACAGGUGUAAGCACACACACUCUGUAAGCUCACACUUAGUGAAAAUUUUCUUUCCAUAGCUCAGAAGUCACCCUUUAAGAGAAAACCCUCCAAGUCCAAAACACGAAGAAAACCCUUUCAGAAAACCCUCAGAAGGCACCGCGCGAAGCUCGUGAAGCCUCACCAUCGCGAAGAUCAUCGCACCCCAGUCCCCACUCACCACUCAGCGCCACACCGUCGUGAAGAUCGUGAAGCUCACAUCGUCGUGAACCCUCCUGCACUGAUCGUCACGCGCCGCCCAUACCAUCGUUGAUCUCUGCGCUUCUCGUCGUCCUCUCUGUGCUUACAUCAUCGAUUAGGUUUCGGUUCAGCCUUUUAUAUUAAAAUCCCAGUUGUAUAGCAGUGUAAAGGACAGAACGCAGGUGGACAGGGAAUUGGAGUCUCUAAGGAGAGACAAAGUUCUGCGUAUUUUCAAAUUAAAUACUGGACAAGAUGAUUAUGCUAUAAUGUUUUUGGAUGACUACAUAAAGCAGAUAGAUCAAGUUUUUAAAAGAAUGGAAGGAAAGAAAGAAAUGGAAUAUGAAGUUUUUGGGUGGUUCAAAAAUUAUGUUCUGGAUUCGAAGCUGGAAACUGGCAUUGAACAUUGGAAUUUACUGAAUCAAUUUCUAUAAUUAGCGAAGUGUGCUUCUUGAUGCAAUGUUCACUCUUGUCACUUGGGGGGAAGGUGAAGGACAGCCACAUCAGCCACAUCACACUUGAUGUCUAUAUGCCUUUUUACUUGGCUAGCUACUCUUUUGCUCUGAUUUCAAACCUGCUAGAACCAACAGAAUGUGUCAGUAUUCUUGCAGUUUUUUCCCCUCCAUUUUCUUGCAACACAGAUAAAGGAUUGGUUCGCAUUGGUGGUGACGCCCACUAGGGAACUGGCGUUCCAGCUAGCAGAGCAGUUCCGCUUAACUGAGAUAAUUAGCAAUUCCAAACAGCCAUCUGAAUGGCAUCCAAAGAGCCACUGGUGAUCUCUAACAAGGACGCGAUGAGGAAAUGGUCAAGGGCCAUGAUUUUAACAUUAAAAUUGUUGGUUCUGAUAUCACACGUGAGAAUGAUGGCUUGGCAAUGAGUUCGCGUAAUGUGCGCCUUUCUACAAAAGACAGGCUAAAUCUAUGAUUUUAUUUUAUUCAGAUAUGUAUAUUUUAAUUAGUUCAUGGUAGUCAUGGUAUUUAAUAUGAAGCACUUGUUAUGAUAGUAAUGAUAAUUGUAACGCUGAGCCUAUAAAGUCUUUAUAACUAAAACUAACAAAACUUUUUUCCCCCGUUCCAUCUGUUGCAGGCACUAUCCAUAAAUAAAUCUUUGUUAAAAGCUAAAUCAGCAGCAGCAGAUGGUCAGGUGCAUUGUGAGAAGUUGAAAAACUUAGUGGUCCAAUGUAUUACUAAGGCUGGUGGACAGAUUGAUUAUGCUGAGAUGAGUUCUUGUGUUCAAUUAAUUUGGAUUAUUUAAUGAGAUAAUCUCUAUAGUUUAAUUACAUAUUCAACUUCAAAAAUAUUCAAUCUCAGUUAAUAUAUUAUUAGAUAUUUACAAGUGAUGUGCAAUAUGAUUAUUGCUAAAGAUAUCCUAGUUGUAUAAUUGGUCAGGGAAAUUGGAUUUGCUUUUAUUGCUGUUGUCCUUAUUCUUUCUAUGGGUGGUCCUGGGAGUUCAUUGGACGAUUUAACAUGAUUAUGGUUAUAAAUAUUAUUAUAAAUAACAAUGUUGGACAAAUUUUGAAUAUAAAUAACUUUUUGAGACAUUUCAUACUUGGAUUAUAUAUUUCUCAUAUGCAUGUAGUGGAACAAAAUUGUCUUUGCGGUACACGUAUAUAGAGGGAGUAACGCAAACUGAAAGAAUACAUCACCAACGCUCUGCUAUUAAUCCUGAGCACUUGGGACUGAUUUAAUCUUUCUAACAAGUUAUAAUAGGUAAAAGAAAGUAAGAAUGCAAGGUUAGAGUGAGUGAAAAGCUAGGAAUCAAUUUUUGACCUCUCAAAACCCGAGGUUACAUGUUGCAGAAUAUGCAGUUUCGAGCAGCAAUUUGUGAACAAAACUGGGAGCAAUCUAGCCACUCAAAAUGAGUGAAAUUAUUUUUUUAUGAAACCUUAAGAUGUAUAGAUUAUUCCUCUAAAAUUUCAGAAUUUUUCAAUGUGUGGUUUGGGAGAUAUGAUUUUUAGAAAAUGGUCAUUUUUUGCAGAAACAAUGCUGUGCGAAUUCGGGAACAGCAACUUCAAAACUGCAUAUCUCAAUACUCUGAAACUCUUUGGAGGAUAAUAUUGAAGAUGAUAAUGAAGAUUAAGCUGUUUAUCAUUGUGGUUUAUGGGUUAAGAUGGAGUAAUGUUGAGAAUGAAUACAUGUAUGGUAGACUAAUUACUUUUAUUAGAUGAUACUUAUAUAGAAUAUAAUAUUUUAGUUUUCCGUAGAGUAUUAGUAGUAAAUUCUAAGUGGUCUUAUGCCUAUUUUGAUAUGGCUAUGUUUAAUUUAGUGUGAGAUGUAUGAAUAUUAGUACUUUUGGAUCAUUAUAAAUAUAUUUUAUUUA